AGAGUGUUCAAAGCAGGCAGAUCCAAUUUUCUGCCACCGAAUACAUUAGCAUGGGAUAAUGGAAUAGGACCCUGUCCUCCUAUUUUCAGUUGGUUUUGGCAGCGCGAGGACUAGGGUAAUGAUUAAUAGGGAUAGUUGGGGGCAUUAAUAUUUAAUUGUCAGAGGUGAAAUUCUUGGAUUUAUGAAAGAUUAACUUCUGCGAAAGCAUCUGCCAAGGAUGUUUUCAUUAAUCAAGAACGAAAGUUAGGGGAUCGAAGACGAUCAGAUACCGUCGUAGUCUUAACCAUAAACGAUGCCGACCAGCGAUUAGGAGACGUUGAAUACAAAACACCACCAUCGGUGCGGUCGUCCUUGGCGUCUCGGUCCUUCACGGGGCCGGGGCGCGGGGGUGGCUUAGCCCGGUGGCACCGGUGAAUGACUCCCUA
rnacentral:rRNA from 1 species